AUUGAACGCUGGCGGCAGGCCUAACACAUGCAAGUCGAGCGGAUGAAGGGAGCUUGCUCCUGGAUUCAGCGGCGGACGGGUGAGUAAUGCCUAGGAAUCGGCCUGGUAGUGGGGGAUAACGUCCGGAAACGGGCGCUAAUACCGCAUACGUCCUGAGGGAGAAAGUGGGGGAUCUUCGGACCUCACGCUAUCAGAUGAGCCUAGGUCGGAUUAGCUAGUUGGUGGGGUAAAGGCCUACCAAGGCGACGAUCCGUAACUGGUCUGAGAGGAUGAUCAGUCACACUGGAACUGAGACACGGUCCAGACUCCUACGGGAGGCAGCAGUGGGGAAUAUUGGACAAUGGGCGAAAGCCUGAUCCAGCCAUGCCGCGUGUGUGAAGAAGGUCUUCGGAUUGUAAAGCACUUUAAGUUGGGAGGAAGGGCAGUAAGUUAAUACCUUGCUGUUUUGACGUUACCAACAGAAUAAGCACCGGCUAACUUCGUG
rnacentral:rRNA from 1 species